rnacentral:rRNA from 1 species
GAUGAACGCUGGCGGCGUGCCUAAUACAUGCAAGUCGAGCGAACGGACGAGAAGCUUGCUUCUCUGAUGUUAGCGGCGGACGGGUGAGUAACACGUGGAUAACCUACCUAUAAGACUGGGAUAACUUCGGGAAACCGUAGCUAAUACCGGAUAAUAUUUUGAACCGCAUGGUUCAAAAGUGAAAGACGGCCUUGCUGUCACUUAUAGAUGGAUCCGCGCUGCAUUAGCUAGUUGGUAAGGUAACGGCUUACCAAGGCAACGAUGCAUAGCCGACCUGAGAGGGUGAUCGGCCACACUGGAACUGAGACACGGUCCAGACUCCUACGGGAGGCAGCAGUAGGGAAUCUUCCGCAAUGGGCGAAAGCCUGACGGAGCAACGCCGCGUGAGUGAUGAAGGUCUUCGGAUCGUAAAACUCUGUUAUUAAGGAAGAACAUAUGUGUAAGUAACUGUGCACAUCUUGACGGUACCUAAUCGGAAAGCCACGGCUAACUACGUG